AUUGAACGCUGGCGGCAUGCUUUACACAUGCAAGUCGAACGGUAACAGCACUUCGGUGGCUGACGAGUGGCGAACGGGUGAGUAAUACAUCGGAACGUGCCUAGUAGUGGGGGAUAACUACUCGAAAGAGUAGCUAAUACCGCAUGAGAUCUAAGGAUGAAAGCAGGGGACCUUCGGGCCUUGCGCUACUAGAGCGGCUGAUGGCAGAUUAGGUAGUUGGUGGGAUAAAAGCUUACCAAGCCGACGAUCUGUAGCUGGUCUGAGAGGACGACCAGCCACACUGGGACUGAGACACGGCCCAGACUCCUACGGGAGGCAGCAGUGGGGAAUUUUGGACAAUGGGCGCAAGCCUGAUCCAGCAAUGCCGCGUGCAGGAUGAAGGCCUUCGGGUUGUAAACUGCUUUUGUACGGAAUGAAAAGCCCUCUUCUAAUACAGGAGGGUCAUGACGGUACCGUAAGAAUAAGCACCGGCUAACUACGUG
rnacentral:rRNA from 1 species